UGGAGAGUUUUAAAGUAGCAUAGUGGUUUAGCCUACACAGAAGAAGAGCUUUUCCAUAAAGAUAUGUAGAUUCCCAUUUGCCUGAAAAGCAUUGAAUAUAAAGUUAAUUUUUAAAACUAUUUUUCAGCCACCUCCCUAAGCCUGGCAAUGUUCCGUUUGUAUUGAUCGUGAUGGAGAUCCCUACACAGGAUAUUCAGAUACUGUGGAAAGCGCUGGAUAUGGAAUAUGCACCACGUUCCUUGCUAUGAAGUGCAUUUGCAUUCCGUGUCACUAACAACAGUUGAAAUGACCAGGCUAAAGAAUAGCAAAGAGAACGUGCAAGGAAACAAAUGCCAGGAGAAGGCUUUAAAAUACAAAUUAAAAAGCAGAAGCCAGUGA
rnacentral:lncRNA from 1 species